GAUGAACGCGGGCGGCGUGCUUAACACAUGCAAGUCGAGCGAGAAGUUUUGAAAAGAUUCUUCGGAUGAAAUUUAAAAUGGAAAGCGGCGGACGGGUGAGUAACGCGUAGGCAACCUGCCCCAUACAAAGGGAUAGCAUUUGGAAACGAAUAUUAAUACCUUAUGAAACUUAACUAGUGCAUGCUAGGUAGGUCAAAGAUUUAUCGGUAUGGGAUGGGCCUGCGUCUGAUUAGCUAGUUGGUGAGGUAACGGCUCACCAAGGCGACGAUCAGUAGCCGACCUGAGAGGGUGAACGGCCACAUUGGAACUGAGGCACGGUCCAAACUCCUACGGGAGGCAGCAGUGGGGAAUAUUGCACAAUGGGGGAAACCCUGAUGCAGCAACGCCGCGUGAACGAUGAAGGCCUUUGGGUCGUAAAGUUCUGUUCUAGGUGAUGAAAACUGACAGUAACCUAGGAGAAAGCCCCGGCUAACUCCGUGCCAGCAGCCGCGGUAAUACGGAGGGGGCAAGCGUUAUCCGGAAUUAUUGGGCGUAAAGGGUACGUAGGUGGCCUUUUAAGCGUAGGGUAUAAGGCAAUGGCUCAACCAUUGUUCGCCCUAUGAACUGGAAGGCUUGAGUGCAGGAGAGGAAAGCGGAAUUCCUAGUGUAGCGGUGGAAUGCAUAGAUAUUAGGAGGAACAUCAGCGGCGAAGGCGGCUUUCUGGACUGCAACUGACACUGAGGUACGAAAGCGUGGGGAGCAAACAGG
rnacentral:rRNA from 1 species